GAUGAACGCUGGCGGCGUGCUUAAUACAUGCAAGUCGAGCGAGGACCACCUGGUGGCAACACCGGGUGGCUCCUAGCGGCGAACGGGUGAGUAACACGUGGGCAACCUGCCCCCGACUCUGGGAUAAGCCCGGGAAACUGGGUCUAAUACCGGAUACGAGUCUCCUCCGCAUGGUGGAGGCUGGAAAGGGUCUCCGGUCGGGGAUGGGCCCGCGGCCUAUCAGCUUGUUGGUGGGGUAACGGCCUACCAAGGCGACGACGGGUAGCCGGCCCGGGAGGGUGAACGGCCACACUGGGACUGAGACACGGCCCAGAGUCCUACGGGAGGCAGCAGUAGGGAAUCUUGCGCAAUGGGCGAAAGCCUGACGCAGCGACGCCGCGUGCGGGACGAAGGCCCUCGGGCUGUAAACCGCUUUCAGCAGGGACGAAGCGAAAGUGACGGUACCUGCAGAAGAAGGUCCGGCCAACUACGUGCCAGCAGCCGCCGUAAAAC
rnacentral:rRNA from 1 species